rnacentral:sRNA from 1 species
CUUCAAGACUGUCAAAGAGUUAGAUAUGAUGAGUCAUAAUGGCAUAGAAUGCCUGGGAUGUGCUAGCUCCAAUAGACGGUGUUAACUGGUACUAUCUUCUGGUCAUCUACAGUCUACAUCUACAGCCAUCUCCUGACGUAACAGCUGUGCAGAGAGGCACUGUCUUUCUGGAACGUAUCAUCCAAGGAAAGGCUUCCGUGCUCUGGGCUUGAAGGGAUAGAUUUUGAGGGAUAAGUGCAGCUAUUGGCAUCAAAUACCGAAGGGAGCAAUUCACCACGGGGCCAGUGGCUCUCUGGAGAGAAGACAACUUGGAUUAGAACCUAGCCUCGGGCUGCUUGGGUAUGAUAUGGAGAGGAGCUCACUUAAUAAAGUGGUUGCCAUGGAAAUGAGAGGACCCAAACUUUGUUCUCCAGCACCCAUAGAAGCAGCCAGAGGUGGGCGUGCAUUUAUGGGAGGCUGAGACAGACGGCUGUCUCACCGAUGAGCCGGAUGAGCCCUUCUUCAAAAGAUAAGGUGAUGGGACACGUCUGCUAAUACUGACUCAUCACAACUGUCAUUAAUCGAGCUUGAGACCUGUUCCCCUCUGAGGUGCUCAGCGCGUCGUCAAACCAGUUUUUUACUCGGAAAGACAGAUGGCAUCAACGUGAAAGAUGUCUUCUAAGUCCCAUCACCACCUGGGUGAAGGAUGUUUGAAAGACGCUACAUCCUGCAUUGGGGGGCAGGCAGGCAGCCACAGCGAGGCUGUGAGGGUGGUGAGGCUGUGAGGUGACCAGUCCUGCUGGCAGAGCCUCUGGGGAUGAUGGGGGAGGGGGUCAGAGACACCCCCUGCAGAGCAAAUGGAGAAGAGAAACCAUCCGUGAGGGGAGGCAGGAGCUCAGAGCCGGCGGCAGUUGGGAACAAGUCUGUUUUUUAUGGAGCUCGCAAACCUGAACUCGAAUAUUAAAAAUGCUUUCAUCAGUCCCCUUAAUCCAGAGAAAUUCUUUUGGCUUAGAUGGGAGGAAAAGUCGGUCCCUUAAGGGGAAGGCAGGCGGAGAAGAACGUAAUGAGGAUGUGAGUCAGAGGCUAGAACUGCUGCUGGCAGAUGCCUUGGUGAAGGAGGCCAGGCUGAGGGGGACUGCAGACCAGGGAUAGCUCUCCUUGCUUUUUAUUGAUCUCUCUCUUUAGUUAUUAAAACGCUGGGCUCUG